UACGGAGGGUGCGAGCGUUAAUCGGAAUUACUGGGCGUAAAGCGUGCGUAGGCGGUUAUUUAAGUCAGGUGUGAAAGCCCCGGGCUCAACCUGGGAAUUGCAUUUGAGACUGAAUAGCUAGGGUGCGGAAGAGGGAAGCGGAAUUUCCGGUGUAGCGGUGAAAUGCGUAGAGAUCGGGAGGAAGGCCGGUGGCGAAGGCGGCGCUCUGGAACAUUUCUGACGCUGAGGCUCGAAAGCGUGGGGAGCAAACAGG
rnacentral:rRNA from 1 species